UACAAUGCUAAUAUCUACACUCCUCUCAAACUCGCCGUCAUAUAAUCCUUCUUGCCAUUAUUCUUCUUCCGUUACGCUGGGAAUUAAUUUCAAUUUUUCUUCCUAUCAAUGUCACACCUGGUACCCUUUGAUAGUGAAUUUCUAAUUAAAACUCAUUCUAUUAAUUGAAGAACAAAGACAAGGAUGAUUCAGGCCAUUUUUAGAAGAGCAAGGUUUUCUUCGUAAUCGUCGACAACUCCAGGUAAAAGAUGCAUGAAUUUUUGGCUUUAUAGGUAACUAUUCAUCAAGAUGAAUUUGAUUUUUCUUGGGUUAAUCAAUAAUCAUAGGGUUCCUUUAAUGUUUAUCAUCUUGAAUCAGUGUUAAUCUUUUUAUUGAUGUGAUUUACCAAGAUUCAAUUUUGUUGAUACUUUCAGUUUUCAAUAUGGAAGCUAUCAUGUGUGAAUAAAGUUUUCACUUUGCUUCCUGGAUUAAUAAUGGUGUCAUAAAAGUGGGUUGCUGUUUUUCUAAACACCUUCUAGGCCUUGAAAGACUGUUAAAGUUACUAACAUUCAUAUUUGAUAUUGUCAUUUUCACGUGCUUUUUUAUGAUUGCGUUACGUUAUCAGAUUAUAGGAGAAGUCAGAUCAUAAGAUAGAAAUGUAUCAGUUGCAGGGCGAGUUUUACUUUAUGCUCAGACCUUCCCAAGGAUUGUACCUCUGCUCCUUCCAUAGUAUCUGAAAAACUGCCUAGGCAAAUUGAGAAAGACAUAUCCUUGAUUUUUUUUCUCAAGUAUAAAUUUAAUCGGCAUUGUAAUGGCAAUGCUCUAACAAACUGCAAUUAUUAAUGAAUAAUAUUUUUAAUAGCUGUUGUUUGAUCUUCAACUUUAUUGAUUGUCCCAUUAGACAAGUUAACGAAGUUGAGUAAUGGUAGUUGUUUUCUUCAAUUAUCAAAAAUUCAUUCACCAAUUAUCACAUAUGAACAUGCCAAUCGGUCUUUAACCACAAAACUUCAUUAGACAGGAUACCUAACUGGAGAUUGCCCAUCGGGUUUUUUUGCACACCUGGUGGAGAAUGAUCGAAUUAGUCCAGAAUCCAACCUAGGUCCUUCAAUGAUUGUUGUUUUCUCCAAUUUUGUGAAGAAUUGUCAAAGUUUCACUCUGUUUCCAUUAUUGUUUGUGCAUAGAUAUUUCUAAUGAUUUAGUACUCACUGAAUCAUGAUAAGUAACAUACUAUGUCAUCAGAGUGCACACCAACAACGACCUACCUGAAGUCCCUCGAAUUCAAGAGGACAUACUCUGAUAAUGGAGACAAAUAUAAUGGAGUUCCCCCGGUGUCUACCUAUUUCCAACUCAGGUCAGGUGCCUCAUUCGCUUUGAAGUUGAAGAUUUAGUAGGUACUUCCGUGUUUGUAGCUCCGGACAAUGAGGUCCAACAGAUGGUCUGCCACACUAUAUCCGAAAUCAUGACUGUGUUAGAGGUGAAUAAUCUUAAUCAAUGUUCCUAUCUCACCUUAGAUCAUUAGACUAUCUAACAAUAAGAAAGAUGCGAGGUACCGAAUCAUCCUCUCCAGGAUUGGCGCGAGAAAAGAGACAUUAGAAGAACCCGCGAAGCCAGCACGUGUAAAAAUAAAGCUCGGAGGUGAUGGAAGAGACGUCUAUCGGACGCUAGACUAAUAAAUGCUCUGACAAAGUAGUUGAAAGGAUAAGAAGAAUCUGGUCAAAAUAGGACUCGGUACCAACUACAUCGGGCCAAGACAAAAGGCGACAUCGGAUCAUAUUGUACCAAGCUAUCAGCAUUGGGCAGAAGCACAUCGGGAGAUGACCUCACCCAGUUCAAGACGACAUAUCGGGAGAAGCAUCACAUGAUACCCGAGAAGAGUAGCAAGAAAGAUGUACCACGACUCACACUGUAAUAUGGGGGGGGGGGGGGGGGGGGUGGAAUUCGUAGUGAGAGAAGAGAAUACUAAGAGCUUUGUAGAGAGACUAGAGAGCUUACUAGUGAGAUACACCUUUCGUAACCUUGAAUCAAGCAAUAAGAUCGUCCCUUUACCCCCGUAGACGUAGGUAAUAAUACCGAACCACGUAUAUCUUGUGUUCCUGAGUAUCUCUUGUUUAUUGUCUUCAAUGUAUGUGUGUAAUGUUUCAUCUAAUGUAGAAGUAGGAUUUUCCACAUCUA